UACAGGGGGUGCAAACGUUGCUCGGAAUUAUUGGGCGUAAAGCGCGCGUAGGCGGCCACUUAAGUCGGAUGUGAAAGCCCCGGGCUCAACCUGGGAAUUGCAUUCGAGACUGCAUAGCUAGGGUGCGGAAGAGGGAAGCGGAAUUUCCGGUGUAGCGGUGAAAUGCGUAGAUAUCGGAAGGAACACCAGUGGCGAAAGCGGCUUCCUGGUCCAGCACCGACGUUCAGGCACGAAAGCGUGGGGAGCAAACAGG
rnacentral:rRNA from 1 species